CCCUAAACAAUGUCUUUGGUAGGCUGGUAUCUGUAAAGAACAUCUGUGCAUAAGAUCAGCUUGCAAAUGUGAAAUGGACUUUUUAGCACAGGAGCAGCGAAGGCACUACAUUACAAGCUCUGCUGUUUCUUAUUUUCUUCUUUGAUUCUCAUUAUUAUUUAUCUGCCUCUGUUACCUGCAAUUAUUCCUUGCACAAAUAGUAAAUCCGUUCUUCCUUUAAUGUAGGCACAGGACUUCUGAACCUUUAUAAAUUCGGAAUUUCUACUGUCCAGACCAAGAAGACAUAAGGAAGGUUACACACACUAUUGAGAGUUGCUACACUUCACAAGCAUAAAUGGGCCCCUGACGUACCAAAGAUGAAAAUGUGGAAGUUGAAGAGAAAAUUCAAGCCAAAAGAGGACCAAGAAGACCUACUCACUUCACUGAAUCUUCUGCAGAUGAAUAGGAGCUCUCCAUGACAACAACAGGGACAGACCUCACCACCAUACUACUGACAUCUCAUCCUCUGCCAUCGAAAGAGAAGUCCCACUCCUUCUGCCCGGACAGGAUAUGGGGAAGAUCAACAUUGGAUGUCGGCAUUCAUUGUAGAACCAGACACAGAGUGUGCAACAUCACCACAUCAGCAGUGACUCAAUACUGAGAGAACGUGAUGCACACUCAUCAUUUGAUUUUGAACUUUUCUUGAUUUAUUUUCUCCUCAUUAUCCUCAUUUCCUCUCUCUUGUGUUUGUGUUUUUUCUUAAAGGAUAUAUUAAGACAUUUUCUAUUUGUAAACUGUUGAGGUGUAAAUGAUACUGGAUUGUUUUACCUUUUGACAGUCCUUUAUAAAGUGCCUAAUUAAUAAAGCACCCACUACAUAAAAAUUAAUGUAAUAACAAUUACAAUAAAGCAGACAAGCUUGUAAUUAUAAUUAAUUCUGAAG